AUGUCAGCCCAAAACACACCUAACAAUACUCAUACUAUAGCUCUAAAUCUGGAUUCUCCACCAGCAUAUACUGAGCUGUCAUACCAAAUACUGCCACCAUCAUACACUGAAGCUUCUAGAAGAGUAGACUACCCACCGGUGCCUCCCGUGACCACACAAAUAAGACCGACACUUCUGAACGAGCGAGCUAAUUAUGUAAUCACUCAGUAGGACCAUAAAAAAUCCUAUACAACUCACUCUUUGCGUCUGGUCUUUGUCAUUACCGUUGUCAUUUUUAUUUGUGGAAUUGGAGCUUCCGUGUUCAUUUAGGUGUCAGGCUUUUUAAGUGGAUUUCACAGGCAUUUCCAAAUUAUGACUUCACAACCUACAUCAAGCAAUACUCCUACGAUACCAUUACGUCUGGAUGCCCCACCAGAAUACGCUAAACUAUCUCCUCAAAUACAUACCGUGCCGGCUCUGCCACCAGCAUAUACUGAAGCGUCUGGAAUAGUAGAUUACUCACCGAUGCAUCCCGUGGUACCACAAGUCAGAGCUGCAAGUCAAAAUGACCUAUCUAUAGAAUCAAUAGAAGACCUAUCUAUAGAAUCAAUAGAAGACCGAAGAAUUCGCAGGGCUCAAAGAGUUCAAAGAGCUGAAAGCAGAUUACCAAAAUCCCGAUGGACAUUGUGGUUUUUUGUUGGCCUAUUCAUAAUCAUCGUAAUAAUAAUUUUUCUUGCUGUCUAG